rnacentral:rRNA from 1 species
GGGGAAUAUUGCACAAUGGGCGGAAGCCUGAUGCAGCGACGCCGCGUGGGGGAUGACGGCCUUCGGGUUGUAAACCUCUUUCAGCACCGACGAAGCGGGAGUGACGGUAGGUGCAGAAGAAGCGCCGGCCAACUACGUGCCAGCAGCCGCGGUAAGACGUAGGGGGCGAGCGUUGUCCGGAGUUACUGGGCGUAAAGGGCACGCAGGCGGUUCAGCGCGUGUGCGGGGACAGUGGGUGGCUUAACUGCCCAAGGGUCGCACAAACGGCUGGACUGGAGGGCCAGAGAGGGACCUGGAAUUCCGGGUGGAGCGGUGAAAUGCGUAGAGAUCCGGAGGAACACCAAGGGCGAAGGCAAGGUCCUGGCUGGUUCCUGACGCUGAGGUGCGUAAGCCAGGGGAGCGAAC